rnacentral:rRNA from 1 species
AGUGAACGCUGGCGGUAGGCCUAACACAUGCAAGUCGAACGGCAGCACAGUAAGAGCUUGCUCUUACGGGUGGCGAGUGGCGGACGGGUGAGGAAUACAUCGGAAUCUACUUUUUCGUGGGGGAUAACGUAGGGAAACUUACGCUAAUACCGCAUACGACCUACGGGUGAAAGCAGGGGAUCUUCGGACCUUGCGCGAUUGAAUGAGCCGAUGUCGGAUUAGCUAGUUGGCGGGGUAAAGGCCCACCAAGGCGACGAUCCGUAGCUGGUCUGAGAGGUUGAUCAGCCACACGGAAAAUGAACAACGGGCCCACCCCCUAGGGGGGGCAGCAGGGGGAAAUAUUGGAAAAGGGGCGCAAGCCUGAUCCAGCCAUACCGCGGGGGUGAAGAAGGCCUUCGGGUUGUAAAGCCCUUUUGUUGGGAAAAAAAAGCAGCAGGUUAAUCCCCCGCUGUUCUGACGGUACCAAAAGAAUAAGCACCGGCUAACUGCGU